rnacentral:rRNA from 1 species
UACGGAGGGUGCGAGCGUUGUCCGGAUUUAUUGGGUUUAAAGGGUGCGUAGGCGGCCUUAUAAGUCAGUGGUGAAAUCCUAUCGCUUAACGAUAGACGUGCCAUUGAUACUGUAGGGCUUGAGUACAGAUGCCGUUGGCGGAAUGUGUCAUGUAGCGGUGAAAUGCAUAGAUAUGACACAGAACACCGAUUGCGAAGGCAGCUGACGAAACUGUAACUGACGCUGAGGCACGAAAGCGUGGGGAUCAAACAGG